rnacentral:rRNA from 1 species
ACUCCUACGGGAGGCAGCAGUGGGGAAUAUUGGACAAUGGACGAAAAGUCUGAUCCAGCAAUACUGUGUGCACUAUGAAGUUUUUCGGAAUGUAAAGUGCUUUCAGUUGGGAAGAAGUCAGUGACGGUACCAACAGAAGAAGCGACGGCUAAAUACGUGCCAGCAG